rnacentral:rRNA from 1 species
UACGUAGGGUCCGAGCGUUAAUCGGAAUUACUGGGCGUAAAGCGUGCGCAGGCGGUUUUGUAAGCCAGAUGUGAAAUCCCCGGGCUCAACCUGGGAACUGCAUUUGGGACUGCAAGGCUUGAGUACGGCAGAGGGGGGUAGAAUUCCUGGUGUAGCAGUGAAAUGCGUAGAUAUCGGGAGGAACACCUGUGGCGAAAGCGGCUCACUGGACCAUAACUGACGCUGAUGCACGAAAGCUGGGGGAGCAAACAGG